rnacentral:rRNA from 1 species
UAAGAGAGUUUGAUCCUGGCUCAGGAUGAACGCUGGCGGUAUGCCUUACACAUGCAAGUCGAACGAGAGUUUUUAACUCAAGUGGCGGACGGGUGAGUAACACGUGAGAAUCUACCCUUAGGAGGGGGACAACAGUUGGAAACGACUGCUAAUACCCCAUAUGCUUUCGAGUAAAAUAGUUUUCUGCCUAAGGAAGAGCUCGCGGCUGAUUAGCUAGUUGGUAGGGUAAAGGCCUACCAAGGCGACGAUCAGUAUCUGGUUUGAGAGGACGAUCAGACACACUGGAACUGAGACACGGUCCAGACUCCUACGGGAGGCAGCAG